rnacentral:rRNA from 1 species
AGGUUAAGCUAAUAAGAGCACACGGAGGAUGCCUAGGCGCCAGGAGCCGACGAAGGACGUGGCGAACAACGAAACUGCCUCGGGGAGCUGUAAGCAAGCUUUGAUCCGGGGGUGUCCGAAUGGGGAAACCCAGCUGUGGUAAUUCGCAGUUACUCAUUUCUGAAUACAUAGGAAAUGUAGAGGCAGACCAGGGGAACUGAAACAUCUAAGUACCCUGAGGAAGAGAAAACAAUAGUGAUUCCGUCAGUAGCGGCGAGCGAACGCGGAACAGCCUAAACCUAAGAGCUUGCUCUUAGGGGUUGUGGGACGUCUCACAUGGAGUUACAAAGGAAUAUGGUAGGUGAAGAGGUCUGGAAAGGCCCGCGAUAGAGGUAAAAGCCCUGUAACCUAAACUGUAUUCUCUCCGAGACGGAUCCCGAGUAGUGCGGGGCACGUGAAACCCCGUAUGAAUCCAGCAGGACCAUCUGCUAAGGCUAAAUACUACCUGGCGACCGAUAGUGAAACAGUACCGUGAGGGAAAGGUGAAAAGCACCCCGGAAGGGGAGUGAAAUAGAACCUGAAACCGUGUGCUUACAAAAAGUCAGAGCCCGAUCUAUGGGUGAUGGCGUGCCUUUUGUAGAAUGAACCGGCGAGUUACGUUUAACAUGCAAGGUUAAGCCGAGAAGGUGGAGCCGCAGCGAAAGCGAGUCUGAAUAGGGCGA